UGGUGGAGCUAGGUGGCAUGGGCCUAUUACUCAUAGAGGAAGUUAGAAAUGAGAUUAACAAGGAGCUUGUUGGGCUUGUCACCCAUAUGAAAAGAUGUUUAUUCAAAAACUUCUGCCUUUUGAAAUUCUGUAGCUUUCAAGGUGGGGAAUGACGACUCGAUCCAUUUUUGGGAGGAAGUUUGGAUUGAUAUGAUUCCUCUUUGCUCUCAUUUUUAGAGCUUUAUAGUUGUGUUUUGAAACUGAUAGGCUGAUUUCAUCAUACUAGAGCUGGAAGAAUUUGAGAUGAUGUAUCAAAGUUCAAAGGCCAUUGGCUAUACUUUAAGAGACCCAUUUGUCUUCCUUGCUAUCCAUUCUUGCCCCUCUUAGGCCAUCUCAUA
rnacentral:lncRNA from 1 species